GUUAAAUGGUUCUAGUAAAAUGUAUCGGUUGAUAUGAUAAGCAAUGGUAUUUCCAGCCUCUUCUGAUGGGGACUAAUUUGGCUUUCUCCCCAGCUGAAAUGAGUGAGAACCUGGUUGCACUGGUACUAUAAGCUGACAGUCCUAGGUCAGGGUGUGUAAAAGGAACUUCUCAGUAAAGGUCCAACCACAUCGAGAGUACUGGGUGCUGUCCCAAAUGUCCCACAUUUUAAGAGGAACAUUGCUAAGUAGAAGCAAGUCCAGAGGAGGAUGGUGAUCUGUUUUGAAGAAACUCAGAAAAACAAGUGGCAUGAGAGGAUCAAUCCAAUUCAAUAAAUGAAAUUCAAUUUAACAAACAAUUUAUUAGAUACCUA